UUGAGAAACAUACGAAAGUGUAUGGUGGUUUGUAUAUUUGUAUUAUUUGUCUGGAUACUGUCAGGUACCGAGGCAAGUAUGGUCACAGGUAUGCAUAUGGACUAAUAUCCUGAUGUUCACAAAACUGCGGUUCUUUGGACGAUGUGGUGGCACAUUUCGAGAGUAAUAGGACGUCUAAGGAGGGAAAGAAGGUGAUGAACUUAAUUGUUAUAUGGCAGUACAUGUUCGAUCCUUCACCCGAACCAUUUUUUCCCCUCUAUUUUGGUGCUUUCCGACGGCUGUUUGGUGAAGGAACCCUAACGUCGUCGACGAUUACCUGGCCAGAAACCCGAUAGGGUCCAACCACUCUCUCUUUCGUUACAAAUCAUCGGUAACCAAUUUUGGCUUUGAAUGUGAUUUUUGAUAUGGCUUUAGGGUUAUAUCUCUACUCUUGUGAACAUUCUUUUACAACUCUUGAUUCGGUCUUGUGAAAUCAGUGGUGACUUUGGCCACUGUGGAGGCAUAAGUGCUGUUUUAAAUCUAGAUUUGAUGUGUUUAUAUCAAAAUUCUGUGUUAACUGAUGUUAGAAAUGCAAGCUAAGUUGGAUAUGGACUAAGGUGCCGUUGUGGAAUCCUCAAGCAGAGGAUCUCUAAAGAAGGACAAGAAGAGAUGUUAUGUUAGAAGAUUGGCUAAAGAAUUUGACCUUUGCCAUGGCUAUUAUCGUGAGUCCAUUUAAGGAAAACAACGGUGCGACGUCAACAUAAGGAAAAGUAAAGGGGAUUACUGGUUGUGGUUUACAACCGUGCUGGUGGUUGGGGUGAAGCUGGCAGCAGCCGUGGUGGAAACCGGUCAUGGCUGGGGGUUUGGCUAGAUUCCGAUCUGGUACGAAGAGGGAGAACCGUAAAGCAUCCAUCUUCCUCAAAUUCAGGAGAAGUUUAUCUGUUAACAUAAAUGUAGGGGUGAAGAUGGUGACUCCCGAAAGGUUAAUUUGAAAGGAAUGCGUCACAGAGAAGUUGAAUGAAGAAUCGUCUCACAAGUUUUGAUUCUGAUGGACGGGUUGAAAUCCCGUGCUCACAUUAUUAUUAUGGGUGUAACCAACCGUCCCAACAGCAUUGACCCAGCUCUGAGAUGAUUCGGCAAGUUUCACCGUGAAAUCGAAAUCGGUGUUGGCUCGAGGUGCUCCGCAUUCAUACAAAGAACAUGAAGCUGGCUGAAGAUGUGGACUUGGAGAAGAUUUCGAAAGAGACACAUGGAUAUGUCAGUGCUGACCUGGCGGCUUUGUGUAUUGUCAGUGUAUUCGUGAGAAUAUGGAUGUGAUCGAUUUAGAAGAUGAGUCGAUUGAUGCUGAGAUUCUUAAUUCGAUGGCGGUUACGAAUGAGCAUUUUCAAACCGCCUUUGGUACGAGUAACGCUAAACGAGAGCUCCAAGAGGUAGUAUUCUUAUUUAUUUGUUUGAUAAAUUUUUAUUUUUAUAAAUGAUCGGUGAUCUAAAAUCUAUUAAUCUGUCAUGCAGAUUGUGCAAUAUCCGGUUGAACACCCUGAAAAAUUCGGGAAAUUCGGUAUGUCACCAUCUAAAGGAGUUCUGUUUUACAGGCCACCCGGGUGUGGUAAAACACUUCUAGCCAAGGCUAUAACCAAUGAAUGCCAAGCUAACUUCAUUAGCAUCAAGGGACCAGAAUUGAUAACCAUGUGGUUCGGUGAAAGUGAAGCUAAUAUUCGUGAGAUCUUCGAUAAGGCCCGUGGGUCCGCCCCUUGUGUUCUGUUUUUCGAUGAGCUCAACUCUAUUGCUACCUAGAGGAAGUAGUCAAGGAGAUGCGGGAGGUGCAACUGAUAGGGUGUUGAAUCAACUUUUGACUGAAAUGGACGGGAUGUCAGCUAAAAAGACGGUUUUCAUUAUGGCUCUUUACAACAAGAAAAAGUUUAAGAAACCGAAUUAAAAAUUUAUGGUAGAGAAAAGGGAAAGAUGAUACUUUAGAUGUUAAAAGUGUUAUUUUUAUACUUUUAUUUGUUGUAAAUUAAAUUUUCCU